CCUACGGGCGGCAGCAGUGAGGAAUAUUGGUCAAUGGACGAAAGUCUGAACCAGCCAAGUAGCGUGCAGGAUGACUGCCCUAUGAGUUGUAAACUUCUUUUAUAUGGGAAUAAAAUGUUCCACGUGUGGCAUUUUGUAUGUACCAUAUGAAUAAGGAUCGGCUAACUCCGUGCCAGCAGCCGCGGUAAUACGGAGGAUCCGAGCGUUAUCCGGAUUUAUUGGGUUUAAAGGGUGCGUAGGUGGAUUGUUAAGUCAGUUGUGAAAGUUUGCGGCUCAACCGUAGAAUUGCAGUUGAUACUGGCAGGCUAGAGUACAGUAGAGGUGGGCGGAAUUCGUGGUGUAGCGGUGAAAUGCUUAGAUAUCACGCAGAACUCCGAUUGCGAAGGCAGCUCACUAGACUGCGACUGACACUGAGGCACGAAAGCGUGGGUAUCAAACAGGAUUAGAUACCCGUGUAGUC
rnacentral:rRNA from 1 species